CUGCAGCUAAUUAAGCCAACCAUGCUCCUUUCCUCAUGGGGACCUGGUGUGCAAUGGUUUGCAAACAGCAGCCUCCUUGGUAGUGUAUGCAGCCUGUUGCUUAUAUAGGUUGCUCUAAGGGACAUUGAAGACAUUC